rnacentral:lncRNA from 1 species
CCUUAAUCUGGUGGGCACAAUCUAAUCAGCUUUCAGCAAAUAUAAAGCAGGCAGAAAAACGUGAAAAGGCAAGAGGGGCCUAGCCUCCCAGCCUACAUCUUUCUCCCUUGCUGGAUGCUUCCUGCCCUCAAAAGUCUGACUCCAAGUCCUUCGGUUUUGGAACUUGGACUGGCUCUCCUUCCUCCUCAGAUUGCAGACAGCCUAUUGUGGGACCUUGUGAUCAUCAUAAUGUAGAUGCCUCUCCUGGAGACUCUUUGAAUCUACUUCAUGAGAUCCAUGACACUGUCUGCUAUGUCGUUGCAGAGCUUCUUGCAUGGAAUGAUGGUGAUGUACUUGCUCAUGUGUAAUUUCUGUAGUACUUCUCUAUGAAGACCCAGUUACCUUUAUGGCUUUGGGCCAACACUGUUGGUGCAAAUGCUAUUGAUGCUGUCAUAUCUGUGUGAGAACCACAGAAUUGCAGCAACCACUCUAGUAUCAGGAAGAGAAUUAAAGAGCCAUGCUCAAGAUGGCAAAGAGGAAAAAGGAGCAAUCAUUGUUCAAUAACCCAAUGAUAUUGCCAAUUCACUGAAUUAAUAAAACCUGGAGCCACACCUACUCCUUUUUUUUUCUUUUUCUUUUUUUUUAAAUUAUUACUAUCCUUUAAGUUUUAGGGUACAUGUGCACAAUGUGCAGGUUUGUUACAUAUGUAUACAUGUGCCAUGUUGGUGUGCUGCACCCAUUAACUCCUCAUUUAGCAUUAGGUAUAUCUCCUAAUGCUAUCCCUCCCGCCUCCCCCCACCCUACAACAGGCCCCGAUGUGUGAUGUUCCC